UACAGAGGGUGCAAGCGUUGUCCGGAAUUAUUGGGCGUAAAGCGCGUGUAGGCGGCUUUGCAAGUCGGGUGUGAAAGCCCUCAGCUCAACUGAGGAAGUGCGCCCGAAACUGCAGAGCUUGAGUGCCGGAGAGGGUGGCGGAAUUCCCCAAGUAGAGGUGAAAUUCGUAGAUAUGGGGGAGGAACACCGGUGGCGAAGGCGGCCACCUGGACGGUAACUGACGCUGAGGUGCGAAAGCGUGGGGAGCAAACAGG
rnacentral:rRNA from 1 species